AGUGGCGGACGGGUGAGUAACGCGUGAGAAUCUACCUUCAGGACGGGNNCAACAGCUGGAAACGGCUGCUAAUACCCGAUAUGCCGAAAGGUGAAAAGUUUUUUCGCCUGGAGAGGAGCUCGCGUCCGAUUAGCUAGUUGGUGAGGUAAAAGCUUACCAAGGCGACGAUCGGUAGCUGGUCUGAGAGGAUGAGCAGCCACACUGGAACUGAGACACGGUCCAGACUCCUACGGGAGGCAGCAGUGGGGAAUUUUCCGCAAUGGGCGAAAGCCUGACGGAGCAACGCCGCGUGGGGGAAGAAGGUUUUUGGAUUGUAAACCCCUUUUCUCAAGGAAGAACAAAAUGACGGUACUUGAGGAAUCAGCCUCGGCUAACUCCGUGCCAGCAGCCGCGGUAAUACGGAGGAGGCAAGCGUUAUCCGGAAUUAUUGGGCGUAAAGCGUUCGUAGGCGGCUGUUCAAGUCUGCUGUCAAAGACCGAGGCUCAACCUCGGGUAGGCAGUGGAAACUGGAUAGCUAGAGGUCGGUAGGGGCAGAGGGAAUUCCCAGUGUAGCGGUGAAAUGCGUAGAUAUUGGGAAGAACACCGGUGGCGAAAGCGCUCUGCUGGGCCGAACCUGACACUCAGGGACGAAAGCUAGGGGAGCGAAUGGGAUUAGAUACCCC
rnacentral:rRNA from 1 species